AAGGGAGAGGGCAGAAGAGAAGGAAAAGAAAGGGGAAGGGGAAAAAAAAAAAAAAAAAAAAAAAAAAAAAAGGGAAGGGGGAAAAAACAAGGUUUUGUCAGCAAAAAAAAAAAAAAAAAAAAGUAAAAGUUUGAAAUAUUCAUUGCUCGACAAAAGUUCUGAAUUUGAAUCUAGUUUACCUAGCAGUGAGUUUUAAACACCUGUUCACAUGGGGUCUACCAUGCAAACCAGAAUACUA
rnacentral:lncRNA from 1 species